GUGAUCACAACUGUUGCCAUGAGCAGAGAGGAAGAGGCAAAUAGGAGCGCAGGGGACUGCCCCUGUCCCAGCACCUCUCCGACCCCAUGGAAGAACCUGGGGCAGCACACGGGCCAGGACAUCUGGGAAAUCGGUCACCACUGUGUGGGUAACGCCAGGGUUCUGUUGGGGGAGACACAGGAGGAAGCAGUUGGGGCUGGGGUGCCCCGGGCAGGUCCCAGCUUGCCCUGCCCCUGGGGAGGGCUGGCCGAGCCCCAGCCUGGUGAAUCGCUUGUUCUUGAGUUGGACUCCUGGUUCUCCAGCCCAAGUCAGAACCACCUGGAGGGCGGACUCGGACUGAGGGGAGCCUUGAGUCGGCAUUCAGGGUCCCAGCCGGCGUGCGGAUCCCCAGCCACAACCCUUAGUAUUCCCCUGGAAGUGAGACCACAUCUGAAACUUCAUCACCACCAGUUGGCAGAGUCCUGCUCUUCAGCUUAGACUGACCUGGAAGUCCCUAUGUAGCCCAGGUUGGCCUCAAACUGGAGAUCCUCUUGCCUCAGCCUCCUGAGUACAGGGAUCACAGCAGCCACAGAGCUGAGCAGAGCCAAGUCCUUGGAGCCGCGCAGGGCAGUGACAGCAUCCCACAGAGGGGCACAGGGAGGCCGAGGACACGGCAGCAGGCCCACCGAGGGACGCCACCCCGUCCCCAGGAUACGGCCGGCCACAUUCGGACGGUGCUGGCAGUGCCAGGCCCGCCGGCUCCCUGUGCCAGCCGCUGCACCACACAGCCUCCCUGGGGGGCCCACCCACCACAGCCCCCACGGGGCAUGGGGCGCCUGGAAAAUGGAUCUCAGGGACAGAGAGCAGGUUCUGCACCUUCGGGUUACGGGCAGUUCUUACCUUUUGCUUUGUGGCUGUUUCCCUGGUAUUUGACAAGAAGUGUUCUUUUCGAGAAAAAAUG
ensembl:lncRNA